rnacentral:rRNA from 1 species
UACGGAGGGUGCAAGCGUUGUCCGGAUUUAUUGGGUUUAAAGGGUGCGUAGGCGGCUUAGUAAGUCCGUGGUGAAAGCCAACAGCUCAACUGUUGAACUGCCAUGGAUACUGUUAGGCUUGAGUACAGACGAGGUAGGCGGAAUGGAUCGUGUAGCGGUGAAAUGCAUAGAUACGAUCCAGAACACCGAUUGCGUAGGCAGCUUACUAGGCUGUAACUGACGCUGAGGCACGAAAGCGUGGGGAGCGAACAGG